GUUCAGGUAAGACCUUGAACUUGAAGAUGCAGAGCUUUGCUGAAUGAAAACUUGUCGGUACGACAGAAGCCUGUUGAGUGUAGUUGAAAUUAUUUCAAUAUAUAUGUUCCUAUGAUUGACAUAUCCAUAGGACAUGCAGUUAGCCUAGACCAAUAGGAAGAGAAAGGUCUCUGAUUCAGUUCUCAAGUCUUUCUUAGUCUAAAUUGGGAAGAAUUGAAAGGAUACAUAUAUAGAAAUCUUAGAGGACAUAUUGGCACGAGUCUUAAAAGACACAGAUUUGAGGAUAAUAGAGAGAAAAAGAAUGACAAACAUAGUAUAAAGGACUGCAGACUUCCUGAUAUCUUUCAAACUGUUCUUUUGGUAUAAAUGUAAUAAUGCAAUAUCAUUCAUCUUAUUUGUAUAGGUAUACCUCCUUAAAUGCAAUCACUAUUAGUAAACAUUGUUGUGAUUGUAGUUCUAUAUGUCAGUUUAUUAGUUAACUAGCACGUAGUCAUUGCAUAUAUAUGCAUUAUUAUAUACCAUACCUUUCAGCAAUCUUAGUCUUUUCAAUUAGGAAAUAAUUUUAAAACAAAUUAUUCUAAUGGAAUUUUAUUUUCUAUGUUUAACCUGUUAUAUGCACUUUGUCAAAUAUAGCAUGUUGCAAAUGUGAUACAAUAUAGAGCAACCUUUAUAUUUCUUAGAAAAUUCUUUUUUCUGAACUGUAAUGAAAAGUUUGGUUAUGAUCAAAAUACUUUUUUUUUAAGUGAGAGAUAUUUUAAAUGAAUCAUUAUAUUUCAACAAAUGUUAGAAACACAACUUAACAUAAAGAAUUUCUUAUGUAUCAAUAUUCUGUGUUGUAAAAUCUUAAAGAUUUUGUUUUUCCCAAUAUGUUUAAAAAAUUAAAAUGCAUAAUUUUAGCUUGUAAAUUUUAUUUCGGGAUUAUUCCCGAAAUGGGUUAAAAAAAAUCUAUGCACCAAGUGUGUGCCUGAUAUUAGAUUUAUAAUUUCGGGAUUUUUCCUGAAAUGUAAAAGAAUUUUUUAUGCAUGAAAUUUAGCAUGUACAUUUGAUUUUUUUUCGGGAUAAAUCCCGAAAAUAUUUGAAGACAUCUGUGUUAUACAUUUUAUUUUUGUCGGGAUAUUUCCCGAAAUGUGUUUCAGAUCUGUUUGUUAAAACGCUUUGCCAACAUUUAUGUCAUAAAAUUUAAUGUUGAUUUCAUUUCGGGAUUUUUCCCAAAAUGGGUAAAAUAAUCUAUGCACCAAGUGUGUGCCUGAUAUAAGAUUUAUAAUUUCGGGAUUUUUCCAGAAAUGUAAAAAAAAAAUAUUAGUCAUGAGAUCUAGCAUAUACAUUUAAUUUUUCGGGAUAAAUCCCGAAAAUAUUUGAAGACAUCUGUGUUAUACAUUUUAUUUUUGUCGGGAUAUUCCCCGAAAUGUGUUUCAGAUCUGUGUUAAAAUGCUUUGUCAACAUAUAUGUCAUAAAAUUUAAUGUUGAAAAUGAUUUCGGGACAUUUCCCGAAUAAAUAGUUGUCAUAUAUACAUUUUUACCACCAAUAUUUUAAAACUUUCAUAUAUUUUGGGAAAUUUCCCGAACAUUUAAUGUAAACUUUAUCAAUUAUAAGAAUAAAAACAUGGAAUGUUGUAAAA